GACGAACGCUGGCGGCGUGCCUAAUACAUGCAAGUCGAACGCAGUGGGGACGGGUGAGUAACACGUGGGUAACCUCCCAUCAGAGGGGAUAACACUUGGAAACAGGUGCUAAACCGAUACUGAUGGAUGGACCCGCGGUGCAUUAGCUAGUUGGUGAGGUCACGGCUCACCAAGGCCACGAUGCAUAGCCGAGCGGGGAGGGUGAUAGGGCAAAUUGGGACUGAUACAAGGCCCAGACUCGUACGGGAGGCAGCAGUAGGGAAGUGUCGGCAAGUGACGAAAGACUGACCGAGCAACGCCGCGGUAGUGAAGAAGGGUUUCGGGUCGUAAAACUCUGUUGUUAGAGAAGCGGUAUUUAACCAGAAAGCCACGGCUAACUACGUGCCAGCAGCCGCGGUAAUUC
rnacentral:rRNA from 1 species